GCUCCAAUAGCGUAUACUAAAGUUGUUGCAGUUAAAAAGCUCGUAGUCUGAUUUCGGGGUGCAAUUUUUUUUCCGCCUGGUUUAGUGGCACAGAUUGGGUGAUUUAUCUCCUUUGUGUGUCUGCUGGCUGGUGGAUGCACCUCUUUUUUCCAUUUAUCCUGUGGAAGGCAUUGAUUUGUUUUCUGCGUUUUAGGAUGUUU
rnacentral:rRNA from 1 species